rnacentral:rRNA from 1 species
GUCCACGCAGUAAACGAUGAGUGCUAGUUAUCGGGUCUUUGGGAUUCGGUGGCGAAGCUAACGCGUUAAGCACUCCGCCUGGGGAGUACGGCCGCAAGGCUAAAACUCAAAGGAAUUGACGGGGACCCGCACAAGCAGUGGAGCAUGUGGUUUAAUUCGAUGCUACGCGAAAACCUUACCAGCUCUUGUAUCCCUACUAUGAUUUUCAGAGAUGAAUUUCUUCACUUCGGGUGGGUAGGAGACAGGUGUUGCAUGGCUGUCGU